rnacentral:lncRNA from 1 species
UUUAAAGUUAUUUGAUGAUCUUGCUCUUUGUUAGCUGCACAUCUUGCUUUUCCUGUCAUAUCGGGAGUUCCUCCAUAUGUUUUGCUCAAUGUAAAAUGGAUAGCGGGUUCCUUUUUGGUGAUUUAGGAAGAUGCCAUGAUGAAUAACUCCCACCAACUGAUUCUUCAUCCCCAUCCGAACCUUCCUGCAUUGGACUUUGUGAUCCAAUCCCUCUAGGUGAUUGCAUUUCUAACGAGCUUCUCAAUCGUCUGUUGCUUCACAGCAAAUUAAGAACCAAGAGUAACAGCUCGAUAACAAACUUUGAAACAAACUUCUCUUCUUUGUUAAGUUCAUCAAUCCUAUGCGCUUAAUGAACUUAAAGGUGCCACCUGCAGAAAAGAAGCCACGGUUAGAAGAUAUAUUAUCACAACAAGCACGAGCGAUAGUACUCAAAUUUCUUGCUUGAAUGCAACAGUGCAUCUUUCCGGUACACAUUAAGACGAGUACAUUUUUUCCUGAGCUAGUUUGUCUCAAGUUUGAGAUUGCAUAUCCUGAAUUGAUGUGAUAAUAGGCACGGGAGGAUUUUUAAUAACAUUUACUGCUGCAAUACAGCAGCACCUAUUCGAACAAGCUGAUUAUUAGAUACAGAAGCAUCUCAACUCCAAAUGCUUGUCGAUGGAUGAUUCUUGGUGCACGUGAGUUCCACCGCUUGCAUUGGAAUUUCUCUAUAACUUCCUUCUUUUCCAAUAGCAGACAGUAGGAAACUCCAUGAUGUUUCAAUGAGAAACUUACAGUGGAAGUCCCCUGUGUUCGGUGGCAGAAAAGUCACAGUGCAAGGCAUAGCAGCGGCAUGCCUACUAGGAGGUGAAGUGAGCAUGGAGGAGCCGAGGGCAGCAAUGAAGGGUUCUUGAAGGUAAUCAAGAUGGAAGUAAACCAUGAAACUUGAGAACUAAAAGAAGGAAAACAGAGAGGAAGAAUCAUAGCAGUGAUAUUGAAUGAGUAAUUAAUCCUACAAUGCUUGAUAUGGUUCUUUAUAUAGAGUAUGUGUUGAGUUAGUUAUAACUAACUCAACUACUUGUGACUCACUUUAAGUCUCUAACUGCUAACUAACUACACUUGUUAGUUGAGUAUCUUAACACCCCUUCAAUCUAGGAGGUAUAAAGAUGUUUAGAGCUCCAAGCUUGGACAAUAGAUACUCAUGAUGAUAUCUAGACAAGCCUUUAGUUAACACAUCUGCAAGCUGCGCCUGUGUAGGUAUAUAAUUCACAUUAAUCAGCCCUUGUUGCAGCCUUUCUCUGAUGAAGUGACAGUCAAUCUCAAUAUGUUUUGUUCUUUCGUGGUAAACUGGAUUAGCAACAAUUUGGAUGGCUGAUUUACUGUCACUAUAUAUCUGUAUUUGCAAUUGCACCUUGCUAUCUACUUCCUUUUAAGGCACUAAUCAGCCCAAUCAGUUCAGAGACUGUACUAGCUAGGCUUCUAUAUUCAACCUGAGCUGAGCUCCUUGAGACUGUAGUCUGUUUCUUAGGCUUCCAUGAGAUUAGUGAAUCUCCUAGUUUGAUCAUAUAACCUGUAACUGAUUUCCUUGUAAGAGGACAUGCUUCCCAGUCAGCAUCACAAUAGGCAGUGAUCUUCUCAUUUGAGUUACUGGCUAACAACAAUCCUUGACCUCGUUGCUUCUUUAGGUACCUGAUUACCCUUAAUGCAACAUCCAAGUGAAACUUUUUUGGUUGCUGAAGAAACUUAGAGUUUGAGUGCUAUAUGAGAUGUCUGGUCUUGUCAUAUAGAUACAAGAGCUUUCCAACCAAUUUCUGGUACAUUGUCUGAUCUACCAAAGGAGAUCAUCAAGAACAUUUUUUCUUCAAGUGAUCAUCAUAUUGUACAGAAGUUAACUUGGCAUUAGUAUUAAUAUGAGUGUUUGCUGGCUUUGCUGCAGAUUAACUAACCUUAGAUAUCAAUUCCAGUGUGUAUUUCCUCUGAUGCAUAAGGAUCCCAGCUUUAGACCUGGUAAACUCGAUCCCCAAAAAAUAUUUCAACUCCCCUAAAUCCUUCAUUUUGAAAGCUUGCUGCAGUUCCUCUUUUUUGUCUUGAAUCAGUUUCAAAAUGCUCCCAGUGAUGAGCAUGUCAUCUACAUAUACCAUUAUAAUAGUCAUUCCUUCACUAGACUUCUUGAUAAACAAAGAGUAAUCAUGUUGGCUUUGUUCAAACUUCAGAUCAAUAAGAGCUUCUGUCAGUUUGUGAUUCCAUUGUCUUGGAGCUUGUUUCAAUCCAUACAAGGAUUUGACAAGUCUGCACACCUUCUCCCCCGGACUUGAAAAUCCUUGAGGCAGAGUCAUGUAGAUCUCAUCCUUCAAAUCACCAUGUAAGAAUUCAUUAAAGACAUCCAUUUGAUGAACAUGCCAAUUCUUUGAGGCAGCAAUAGCUAGGAUUGUUCUAACAGUCACCAUUUUUACAACUGGAGAGAAAGUUUCCUUGUAAUCUAUACCUUCUUUUUGACUAUAGCCCCUUGCAGCCAAUCUUUCUUUGAACCUCUCAACUUCACCUGUGGCUUUAUACUUUAUCUUGUAUAUACACCUAAAACCAAUUAGCUUCUUACCAGUAGGAAGGUCUGUAAUCUCCCAAGUUUUAUUUUCUUCAAGGGCAUGGAUUUCUGCUUGCAUGGAAUCUACCCAUCUUUUAUCUUUCAUAGCGUCUAAGUAGUAAGUUACACCAAGGUUGAUGUUGCCAUUAUAUAAGCUUGAUAGGUUGGUGACAAAUGAGUAUAAUUGAUGUAGUUACACAUAGGAUACUGAAAAUUAUCACUAAUGUUCAGUAAAACAAAAUCUUUCAUCCACUUAGGUGAAUGUCUCUCCAUAGAAGACCUUCUCUGCAUCAUAAUCCCAUUGUCAGGAGCUACUUCAGGAACCACAACUUAUUCAUAUGCAUCAUGCUCAACCAGAUCAUUUAGCUCAGUUGCAUCUGGUUCAGGGACUUCAACAUGAUCAGUAACUGCAGUUGGAGGAGGCUGUAUUUCUGCAAUCUGUUCAGUAACAUGUGUAGUAGGACCAACACUUGUAUUAUUCAUUGGAUAGCUAGACACAAUGUUCUGCAUCAAACCACCACAGUUGAAGAAAGGGUCAACAAAUACAUCAUUGUUAACCGUGGCACCUAUUUCAGCAAAGGGAAAUCUUCUCUAAACAAUACAUUUCUACUGAUAAAGAAUGACCUAGUGAUAAGAUCAUAUAGCACGUAGCCUUUUUGAGUGUCUGAGUACCCCAUAUGUACAACCUUUCUUGAUCUAUGCAUUAAUUUGUCAUGUUCAUUCAGAACCUUUGCAAAGCACAAACAACCAAGUACUCUUAGACGAGUAAACAUAGUUUUUACACCAUAUAACCUUUCAUAAGGAGUCUAAUUUGAUACUGCACUACUAGGCAUUCUGUUGAUCAGGUAAACAAUAGCUAAAACAUAGUGUCCCCAAAACUUCAAUGGUAUUUUAGCCUAAAAUCUCAAUUCUCUAGUUACUUCCAAAAUAUGUCUAUGUUUCCUCUCAGCUACUCCAUUUUGCUGAGGGGUAUAUGGACAAGAUCUUUGGUGAAUAAUUUCAUUGCCUAUUCUCAUUACCUUGAUAGUUUUGUCAAACUGUGUGUUAAGAUAUUGAAGGAAUAACUUGAUAGACACACACACCUCUGAUUUAAGCUUUAGUAAAAACACCCAAGUAUUCACUGUAAGAAAAUAUUUGUUCCAUCAAAAGUAGUUGUAUUAUAUGGACCCCAAGGUCAAGAUGAAUCAACUCAAAACUUGAUAGUCUUAACAGAACUGGAAGGAAAAAACUAAUCUUGUUUGCUUUUCAAAAGGACAAAUAGAGCAUUUAGACACUUUAUAUACAUCUUCCUUGAUCAUAUGAAACAAUUUAUUAAGAACUACUGACGAAGAGUAUCCUAAUCUUCUAUGCCAAAGCUCUAUAUCCCCUUUCUUGGAUAGUGAUUCCUUAGCUUUUACUACUAAAGAAACUUGGGAGUUAUCUGUUUUUGAAAGAUGCUUUAGCAAUAAGUAGAGACCUCCUUCCUCUUUACCAAUUUCCUUUACCUUCCCAAUGGCUCCUGGAAUACACAAAAGUGGGGAAAGAAUGUGAUUGAGCAACCAAAGUCCUUGGUUAUCUUGCUCACAGAUAGUAGAUUGUACGUGAAUUCUGGAAUAUGAAACACAUUUGUGAUAAUACUUCUAGUAGAUAGAGCACAAGAUCCCAUGUGUGUCACCUGUGAUGCCUCUCCAUUAGGUAGAGACACUUUUUUUGUCUCUGCACACUUAGACAUAGAAUCAGGUAAGAACAUAUUUGACCUAGACCCCAUAUGAUUGGUGGCUCUAGUAUCAAUUAUCCACACUUCACUAUUCUCAUAAAUAAACAACACUUUACUUGCACAGUUGACUGCAUCAAAUUCAUCAACAUUUCCUUUAGAAUGACCACUUUGAAGCAUCAGGAGAAUUUGAUCAUACUGAUCUUUGGUAAAGGUGCAUCCCUGCAGCAUUUCUUUCACAGUUCUUUUAGAAUCUGUAAUGGUGUUGGGCUUUAAAAACUGAGAAUCUUCUUUACCAUGAGAACCACCGGAAUUGUGAUUGAUCUAGCUUCCACUUUGGCUAGUAACAUUCAACCCAUACAUGAGUUUGCCUGAGCUUUUUGUACUUGUUGCUCCAGACCAUAAACAUGAUUAGUAUUGACCAUGUGUGCACCAUUAUAGUUUCCAGACCCAGUCUUCUUCUUGGAUUUGAAAUCAGAAGGAAAUCCCACCAGUUUAUGGCAAUAUUCUUUGCUAUGUCCCUUGCACUUACAGUAGUCACACACCAAACCUGCAUUUCCUUUAAACUUCUGAAUCCCAGCAGAACCACCACCAAUUUGUCCAAAAUUAUUACCAGCCUUAGAGUACAUAGCAAUAGACUCCAGAUUGUUAGAUGAUAUAACAUUUAUUCCAAGAUUUCCAGUAGAAAUAACAAUUGAUUUUUGUGCUUCAUCACCCAUUAUCAUAGCAUAGGCCUAAUUGAUAUUAUUAAGGGAUUCAUUAGUAGAAUUUGACUUCUAGACUGAUGGCAUACUUCACUUAAUCCCAUAAGAAACUGAUAGAGCUUUUGCCUAUUAAUGUGAGCAGCAAAUCCUCUGGACUUUUCACAAUCACACGUAGGUGGAGGGACAAGAGCCUCAAAUUCAUCCCACAGAUUCCUCAAUCUAGUAUAAUAUACAGAGACAAAUGCCGUUCCUUGUUGCAAAGUGGUGAUUUAUUUAUGUAAACUACAAGUUCUUGAGCCAUCUAAACGAUCAAAUCUCUCUUUCAAGUCAUCCCACACAGUACACGCGUUAGAGGCAAAUAAAAUUCCACUCAACAAACUCUUAGAAACUGAGUUCAUUAGCCAAGAGAGGACAAUUGCAUUGACCCUCUCCCAUUGACUCCAUAACUCUUCUAUGAAUACAUCUUUUCUACAUGUUCCAUCAAUCAAUCCCAUCUUAUUUCGACCAAGUAAUGCAAGUUUAAUUGAAUGACUCCACAACGCAUAGUUUUCAAUACCAACUAAUUGAAAAGAUAUUAUGCUAAGGCCACUAACAUCUAUAGGGCUCAAGAAAAGAGGAUGAUUAUAGUCAAUACCUUGACCUGAUAUUGAAAAUCCAAAAUUGACACCAUUUUGAGCAAAUGAACUGGAAGAUUG